rnacentral:rRNA from 1 species
UAGGGAAUCUUCCGCAAUGGGCGAAAGCCUGACGGAGCAACGCCGCGUGAGUGAUGAAGGUCUUCGGAUCGUAAAACUCUGUUAUUAGGGAAGAACAAAUGUGUAAGUAACUAUGCACGUCUUGACGGUACCUAAUCAGAAAGCCACGGCUAACUACGUGCCAGCAGCCGCGGUAAUACGUAGGUGGCAAGCGUUAUCCGGAAUUAUUGGGCGUAAAGCGCGCGUAGGCGGUUUUUUAAGUCUGAUGUGAAAGCCCACGGCUCAACCGUGGAGGGUCAUUGGAAACUGGAAAACUUAAGUGCAGAAGAGGAAAGUGGAAUGCCAUGUGUAGCGGUGAAAUGCGCAGAGAUAUGGAGGAACACCAGUGGCGAAGGCGACUUUCUGGUCUGUAACUGACGCUGAUGUGCGAAAGCGUGGGGAUCAAACAGG